AUUUCUUCAGAAACAUCUAAUAAAAUUGGAAACAAUACCAAAAAGAUUAGCAUGGUCCUUACUUAAGGAUGAAACACACAAAUUGAGAAAUGAUUUAAAUUUUU
rnacentral:snRNA from 1 species